GAUGAACGCUGGCGGCGUGCCUAAUACAUGCAAGUCGAGCGAACGGACGAGAAGCUUGCUUUUCUGAUGUUAGCGGCGGACGGGUGAGUAACACGUGGAUAACCUACCUAUAAGACUGGGAUAACUUCGGGAAACCGGAGCUAAUACCGGAUAAUAUUUUGAACCGCAUGGUUCAAAAGUGAAAGACGGUCUUGCUGUCACUUAUAGAUGGAUCCGCGCUGCAUUAGCUAGUUGGUAAGGUAACGGCUUACCAAGGCAACGAUGCAUAGCCGACCUGAGAGGGUGAUCGGCCACACUGGAACUGAGACACGGUCCAGACUCCUACGGGAGGCAGCAGUAGGGAAUCUUCCGCAAUGGGCGAAAGCCUGACGGAGCAACGCCGCGUGAGUGAUGAAGGUCUUCGGAUCGUAAAACUCUGUUAUUAGGGAAGAACAUAUGUGUAAGUAACUGUGCACAUCUUGCCGGUACCUAAUCAGAAAGCCACGGCUAACUACGU
rnacentral:rRNA from 1 species